UAACAUUGUAAACAUCAACAUCGAAACUUGAAAUGCAACAGAAUUACAAUAUUUAAUACCAAACAUGUUAAAUACAGCAAUACAAAACACCUUCAAAAUGACUUUGACACUCUCCUACAUUGCUUCUUUGGGCAUGUGGAAUGUCUUGAAUAUUGCACUGCAUACACAAUGCCAGCACACACCAAAUUGUUUCGCUUGAUAUGGUUGACAAUGUGUAGACGGGGAGAGCAACUAUUACGGUUGUUGAUUAAGUUGGCCUUUGAAGACACUGUGGAUAUCCAUUCCCCUUUGAGACUGGGUGGGUGCUCUAACAACGCUCUAACAACGCUCUAGCAACGCUCUAGCAACGCUCUAGCAACGCUCUAACAACGCUCUAACAACGCUCUAACAACACUCUAACAACACUCACCUGCACAGACCACAUGUUGAAGAUGUUCCUCUAGGUCUGCAUUUCUCUAGCAGUGAAAGAUGACGACCUUGUUCUACAACAGCUCAGGACAUUGUCUGAAUGGACCUCGGGAGACUCUACCAGGGAAAGUAUCACCAUGACCUGUUAAUUAUAUCAAUUACAAAACAACCCAUUUAUGUGAACCAGCUCUGUAGUAAACAGCAGCAGGAAGGGCAGUGGUGUUAGAGAGGCCAGACGGCCACAGCCUGAGAGGAGCUGUGUAACGUAGUGUGUAAUGCUCUUUGGGCCGUGUGAGAAAGUGCUCUCCCUCCACGCGGCUUGUUUAAAUUAGCCCGAGCACCAGAGGCAGUGGGAACAGCAGCUGGAGAACGAGAGGCAGUGCUGGCAGUGGUGAUAAUCAGCAGGGAGGAUGUGGGGCGAGAAGCCCUGAGGGAGGGCAGAGAGGGGGCCUGUGAUCUUACAAGCCCAAUCAGGGCCCGAGUGGAGCCCGCCGAGGCCUCAUACGGCUUAACAGCACACCAGCGCACCACUCAACAUCCUGAACACAGAGCAGAUCUCCUCCCUGACCGGCAGCUUAACCUUUUUCAGAGUGUGGGGGCUCCCCUGGCCCGGGCUCACGCCGCUCGUUCGCUCAUCACCACACCAAUCAGCCUCAGAGAGAGCAGCGACGGGGAGCUCCACUCCCAGCCUGGGCUGGAGAGGCUUUUAUCCUCCACCAAGACGAGUGCAAAUAUGGAGCUUAGUGUUCUCAGCAGGGACAGCAUGAGGAGCCGCAUUCAACCACAUCCAGUUGGCUCUUUUGUCGAUUUCUGUCAACAGCGGGUUUAUUCACCGAGUAUGUCUACGAAUAGAAACACAGGGAAGGGAAUAUGGGGAUAUGGUGAACAUUUCCAUGACAAAUAUAGAAUAGCAAUUUUUAUACUGAAUAUACAAGCGCUAGAAUUUGAGUCCCUGGAAUUGUGAAUUACAGUCACUAGGCUGUGAAUCUGUAUACCAAUGACAACGCUGUACGUCAAUGAUUGAGGAAAAUAACAAGAGCAGGCUAGUUGCUGGGGCGUUUCUAGACCCUCUGAUUUCAGGCCCACUGGCACCUGUAGCCUCAGUAAAUCAAGCACCAGGACAAAGCUCCUCAGAGGUUGCACGCGACCAGUUCAUCAGGGGCCCGCUCUCCUCGCGGUGUGUGACAGGAGGACAUGACGGAGGGCAGAGAAGCCCUUCCGCUCAGGUAGGGUCAGCGCCAGGCACUGAUUACACAGCUGCUGAUCCUCCCCAGCACAGAGCCCUGAGACAGACGGGGCGGACGGAUCCCAUGUCCCCAAUCCAUCCCCAGCCCUGGCCCUGGCCACGCUGCUGCUGAGAGGACACGGACCACAGACACACACUGCCUUCUCCUCACCAACACCUACAUAACAGAGGUAGAGGAGGAGGAGAGAUCCAGAGGUAGAUGCCCCUGUGUGUUCCAUAGGCUAACACCACAGACAUGAACGUCCAAGCCACUGAUAUUCCAGUCUCAGGCCCAGCUUGACACAAUAUUCAGUAACGAUUUUAUUCUGUCAAUCAAAGCAGAGGAAAAUCUACACCACUUGGCAGCAUUACAUAAAGGGCUAUUCUCACAAGAGAUUGUCUGAGCGCCUACUUUUGUCUGGGGUUUUAGAGAACGCCGUGGCCCAUGGGAGGGGAGCCUUGGAGAACAAUGUGGGAAGCCAGAGAAGAAACCGCACAUGUUCCCUUUUUACAGUCUCUGCUGUGACUCCGAAAAGAGGCUGCAUCUUCACAGGCCAUUUCAUACGGCUACAUCGUCAAUCACGUCAGACAGGCCAGACUGCACCUUCUACUCUUCACGUUACUUACAUGACCCCACAUUCUUCUCAGAUGAAGGAGGACAAAAUCCGACGCGCUCUUACACAAUACUAACCUAAAGAAAAUGUAUUUUGGCCGUUGUGUGACAGGGUAACAAAAUGGUGUAAUUAUUGGAUGUAUAAAUACACUGUACUAUUUGGAUGUGUAUGCACUGAGAAGGCUCAUUUCAAUUGAAAACAUGCUCUAUUAUUUUCAGCUCAGUAAUGUACACACGCUCAUUUAAAUAAGUAGUUAUGUAACCUCAUCAGAUGGUAAUGAUUAAAAUCAUGAGCUGAUGUUUAUAACACCUCAGAAUAGUGAGCCCAGAAUAGGAACAUAAAACACCCAUCAAGGAUUACAGCACAUUAUCACCAACCACACAUGCGAUGGAUACAGUCUAAUUAUGGCGCAGAUAAGGUGAGAGCUUGCCCUAUUAUAGGCUGAGUGGUGGUACGGAACACUCGCAUGGAGACGAUAAUGGGACAAGCAUUGUUGACCCCUGUAGCAAUGCAAUGGGCUCCCAGGGACCCAGGCACGGUGUCUGUCUGUGGGCCUGUAAUGCUGCAGCCCUCGCCCAGCCAGCGGAGGCUCUGCUGUGGCUGGAUGUGACAGCCUUCUCCACCCCUCCACCCUUCCCCAGGGUCCAGCCACCAGAGGAUCAAGCGUGCUUAGAGCUGCCUAGGCAGCCCGGCUAGCAGGGGAACAAGCCGGGCUUUGAGGAGACCGCUGCCAGUCAGACAGGGAGCCCCAGGUCUCCAGCCCUCAGGGGUUAACCUCUCAGGCUGCCAAGCAAAAUACUGCAAGAGGCUCAUAAUUACACACACAGUCAAAGGGCAUGCGUAAUUUCCAGAGCUAUUUACACAGUUGAGAAGGCCCCCUCGAGAUCUGCCAGGAAUAGACCGAAUCAAGAUAGUAAGGUGGUCUCCAUUGAAUAUGCCCACUGUAAUUUAAGGACAUUGACUGUUCUCGGAUUAGAAGUCAUUUGUGAUCGUAUGACCUGUGUACUGUCUGUUUCAAAAACCAGUGGCUUUUAUGCGAAUGAAAAAGUCUGAGGGCCAUGAUAGUCUCAGCCUAAAUAAUGUGUCAAUGUUCAGGACUAUAAAAUAAUGAAUCAAGUUCAUCCCUAAUUACAUGUCAAGAGCAGUUGUGAUGUGUGCAAAUGAGUCUAUCAUACAUCCUCCUAAAACAGAAAAGUGAAUACUCAUAAUUCAACUUCCCAACGGAGUGGGCUGGGCGUGAGGUGUUGCUGUUAAGCUGGCAUUGGCUCAGCCUCUGGCCCUGGCCUGCUGUGGUGUGAGGAUGAGUAUGUGCAGUGGGACUGAGAGUGUAUAAAUAGCAGUGCAGAGCUGUACCUCCUACCUGGUCCGUGCAGAGGCCCCAGGGGAGCCAGGAGUGCUCGGGGCCCCUGCAGCCUCUAACCCGCACAGCUGUUCCCCAGGUCCAGAGUCUCUCCAGAGCCCACCACUACCCCCUGCAAUGGGGACCGCCAGCCGGGGGGCAUGGAGCACUAAUAAUAACAACAUCCAACAUGCAGAGACCAGGUCAGACACUCCAUGACCCUCCCCAUCACAGUGCUGGAAACUGGACAGGAGCCAGGCAACAGCCCCAUGCUGCAGCCCAGGAGAACCAGGCAGGGAGGAAGGGGAUCUGUGGGUGGCUACAGCUCAGAGGUCUCCUUUCACUUCCUGCUUCUCCUUUCACUUCCUGCUCUAUAUACUGUUUCCUUAUAACAGGGCUCCAGGUCAAUCUCCAACAAAUUCAGACUUCUAGGAGAAUCUAAAUAUUUGUUUGUAUUGAUCGUUUAGGAAAAUGUCAUUUCAGUUGACAUGGCCACUAAUCUUCAUGGUAAAACGACUUGGACAUGUGAACACCUGCAGACGAGGUAAGAAAAAUACAUGAUUUCGCACCGGAGAGAUGGAGGUCUGAGUAGGACAAGUUCAUCUCCGCUGUGGACUAAUGGUGUUUUGCUUCUCCUCCACACUAUGUGCUGCUGUAUUUGUGACACACACAAAAGGCACGGCAGUGAGGCAGGCGGAAACCGCAGCCUGUGUGGCUCUUAAAAAAGCCAAUGGAUCCUUAAUAACAGUCCUCCUCUACAGAGUCUGGCUGCACCUUUCAGCGGGAGGCAUCCUGGAGAAAGGACACUGUUAAUGCCUCCAACGGAGCCUCCUGACAGAACUGGUCUCCAUAUUCUGGAGCUCUGGGCCCACCAGG
ensembl:lncRNA